UCGUGAGGUGAACCUGCGGAAGGAUCAUUA
rnacentral:rRNA from 1 species